GAUAAGAACGUAGCGAAAUGCGAUAAGUAAUGUGAAUUGCAGAAUUCAGUGAAUCAUCGAAUCUUUGAACGCACAUUGCGCCCGCCAGUAUUCUGGCGGGCAUGCCUGUUCGAGCGUCAUUUCAACCAUCAAGCCCCCGGCUUGUGUUGGGGACCUGCGGCUGCCGCAGGCCCUGAAAAGCAGUGGCGGGCUCGCUGUCACACCGAGCGUAGUAGCAUACAUCUCGCUCUGGGCGUGCUGCGGGUUCCGGCCGUUAAACCACCUUCAUAACCCAAGGUUGACCUCGGAUCAGGUAGGAAGACCCGCUGAACUUAAGCAUAUCAAUAAGGA
rnacentral:misc_RNA from 1 species